rnacentral:misc_RNA from 1 species
GAUGAAGAAGCAGCGAAAUGCGAUAAGUAAUGUGAAUUGCAGAAUUCAGUGAAUCAUCGAAUCUUUGAACGCACAUUGCGCCCGCCAGUAUUCUGGCGGGCAUGCCUGUUCGAGCGUCAUUUCAACCAUCAAGCCCCAGGCUUGUGUUGGGGACCUGCGGCUGCCGCAGGCCCUGAAAACCAGUGGCGGGCUCGCUGUCACACCGGGCGUAGUAGAUUUUAUCUCGCUCAGGGCGUGCUGCGGGUUCCGGCCGUUAAAAAGCCUUUUUUACCCAAGGUUGACCUCGGAUCAGGUAGGAAGACCCGCUGAACUUAAGCAUAUCAAUAAGCGGAGGA